rnacentral:misc_RNA from 1 species
AAGUCGUAACAAGGUUUCCGUAGGUGAACCUGCGGAAGGAUCAUUAACGAGAUAGGGUUUCUUCGGAGCCCGACCUCCAACCCAAUGUCUACCAUACCUCUGUUGCCUCGGCAGGCCGCCGGUCCUCCUUUAACGGGGGUGCCGCCGUCGGUCCUUACGGGCUUUCGAGCGCCUGCCGCAGGGAUAUGCAAACUCUUUUUUAAACCAGUAAUCUGAGCGGGAAAUCAAUAGCAUUAAAACUUUUAACAACGGAUCUCUUGGUUCUG